rnacentral:rRNA from 1 species
UACAGAGGUCUCAAGCGUUGUUCGGAUUCAUUGGGCGUAAAGGGUGCGUAGGUGGCGCUGUAAGUCGGGUGUGAAAUUUCGGAGCUUAACUCCGAAACUGCAUUCGAUACUGCGGUGCUUGAGGACUGGAGAGGAGACUGGAAUUCAUGGUGUAGCAGUGAAAUGUGUUGAUAUCAGGAGGAACACCCAUGGCGAAGGCAGCAAACUGGGCAUCAUCUGACGCUGAGGCGCGAAAGCGUGGGUAGCAAACAGG